AGUACAGUGUACACAGCCAAGCCGCUAUUUCCUUUCAGUACAAGCUAAACAUAGAUUCAAUGCACCAAAAGAAUGUGGGCAGCAUAAUUUUAUGCAUCUGUAAGAUUGCUUUAUCUCAUAAGAAGGCGUUUAAACAUCCCGCAAUGGCUGAAGCCUAUUAAAUGCAGGCGUAACUGCCAUUUCCAACGAACAGGUUCGUCUUUUCCAGAAUGUUGAGACAUGCUGAGUUCUGUCCAAACUCCUGUGUUGCUUUUAUCCCUCAGAGCAUCUCACUGUCCACUGCCAGCCAGCCCUGUUUUACCCUUUCAGCAAGGACACGCACGGGGAAAUUCUAGGCCUGACAGGAUUUUAGGGGAAGGUUAGCCACUGCUCUGUCUACUGAGGUAUAUGUUCUGGGACAACAGGACAGUGCCUCUAUCCCCAGGGCCUGGAACAGUGCCUGGGAUACAGUGACUGAACCCUUGUAAAUACCAGCUGGAUUUGCAACUGAGAGUUUCUCAGAGAUGAGCCAAUUUUACUUCAAAAGCGACAUCUACUCACCCAGACCCCAUUCGAAGAGAGCUGAGGAGAUCAAAAAUUAUUUUUAAGCAUUUAGAACUAUAAUUUAUUCUAUUCCAACUUCUUCUGAUAUUAUUUGUGAACCCCAUCGCUUCCUAUAACGUCCAAGGUUGCAUUACAAUUUUGCCUUUGUCCAUAAUAUUCUGGGCAGAAUGUUUUCCAUCCUGUGCUCCCAAAACACUUCAUACCUCACUCUACAACAACGACCCAAGUCCUCAGGAGGAACGGCAGCAAAGCAGGCGUGACAACGGGAGCAGGAAGCUGAGAGACUGUACCUUCCACUGCAGUCACAAAUCAGAGUGAGCUGCAAGUGAGGCUGGGCUAUGGACUCUCUCUGCCCUCCUCCAGUCUUGUACUUCCUCCAGCAAAGCCACACUACAACCCAAACAGAAAUAUCAGUCAGGGACCAAGUGUUCAAAUGCCUGAAGCUACUGUGGACAUUUCUCAUUAAAACCAUUACACCUCUAUAUCGGAUGCCCACUCUACCUGGUUAAAAUUCUGCUUAACUACUCAAUGCAAAAAGAAGUUAUUUCUUAACUUGCAAGGGAAUUCCUUAAUCUUUUUGAAAAUUAGUUUUCUCACCCAAUAACUAAGGGAGAAAAACAAACACUUUAAUAUAAACAACUUUGUUUCUUUCUUUCUUCCUCUCACUCUCUCUUUCUUUCUUUCUUCCUUCCUUCCUUCUUUUUUUUAAAAGAAAAUGCAUAUAUCAAAACUUGUGAACAUCUGCUUCCAUAGGUUGCAAAGACAACCUAAUGUUUAUUUAGAAUAUUCUAGAGAAUAAAACAUCUACCUACUUUUUUGUU
rnacentral:lncRNA from 1 species